rnacentral:rRNA from 1 species
GCUCCACCGAAAGAAAAAGAGUGGCGAACGGGUGAGUAACACGUGGGUAACCUGCCCAUCAGAAGGGGAUAACACUUGGAAACAGGUGCUAAUACCGUAUAACACUAUUUUCCGCAUGGAAGAAAGUUGAAAGGCGCUUUUGCGUCGCUGAUGGAUGGACCCGCGGUGCAUUAGCUAGUUGGUGAGGUAACGGCUCACCAAGGCCACGAUGCAUAGCCGACCUGAGAGGGUGAUCGGCCACACUGGGACUGAGACACGGCCCAGACUCCUACGGGAGGCAGCAGUAGGGAAUCUUCGGCAAUGGACGAAAGUCUGACCGAGCAACGCCGCGUGAGUGAAGAAGGUUUUCGGAUCGUAAAACUCUGUUGUUAGAGAAGAACAAGGACGUUAGUAACUGAACGUCCCCUGACGGUAUCUAACCAGAAAGCCACGGCUAACUACGUGCCAGCAGCCGCGGUAAUACGUAGGUGGCAAGCGUUGUCCGGAUUUAUUGGGCGUAAAGCGAGCGCAGGCGGUUUCUUAAGUCUGAUGUGAAAGCCCCCGGCUCAACCGGGGAGGGUCAUUGGAAACUGGGAGACUUGAGUGCAGAAGAGGAGAGUGGAAUUCCAUGUGUAGCGGUGAAAUGCGUAGAUAUAUGGAGGAACACCAGUGGCGAAGGCGGCUCU